rnacentral:rRNA from 1 species
GUGGGGAAUAUUGGGCAAUGGGGGCAACCCUGACCCAGCAACGCCGCGUGAGGGAAGAAGGUUUUCGGAUUGUAAACCUCUGUCCUAUGGGAAGAAGGAAGUGACGGUACCAUAGGAGGAAGCCCCGGCUAACUACGUGCCAGCAGCCGCGGUAAUACGUAGGGGGCGAGCGUUGUCCGGAAUUACUGGGCGUAAAGGGUGCGCAGGUGGCCUGACAAGUCAGAUGUGAAAUACCGAUGCUUAACGUCGGGGCUGCAUUUGAAACUAUGAGGCUGGAGUGCAGGAGAGGGAAGCGGAAUUCCUAGUGUAGCGGUGAAAUGCAUAGAUAUUAGGAGGAACACCAGUGGCGAAGGCGGCUUUCUGGACUGUAACUGACACUGAGGCACGAAAGCGUGGGGAGCAAACAGGAUUAGAAACCCGUGUAGUCC